CGGCGGACUGCAAAGGGAAUACGAAAGCGCGGGCAUGCACGACAGAGGGCGGAGCCUGGGCCGAGGGGUGGAUGUGUGGGUUGCUCGUGGCCUCACCAUACCCAGCAGCAAGAGUGGAAACCACCCCAACACCCAGUGCAGGGCAGCGACAAACACGAGGUGGUCUUUCCAGCCGGCGGAAUGUUACCCGGCCAUGAAAAAGGGCCGGGACUCUGUCACCUGCUGUGACCUGGGCAGACUCGGUGGACCUGGGCCUCGGGGAGAGACCAGAGGGACACGGGGCACGAGCGCCCACAGCUGUGGACCCCGCUGUGGUCACCCGGGGCUGGGGAAGGGGCAGGGAGUCCUUUUGGAGCGAGGAGGAGACUCUGCCCUGGAUCCACGCGCGGUGCUGGUGCUCGGCUCGGUCUGCACGCCGACGCCCCCGCUGUUGCUAUUAUAGUUGUUGUUAUUUUGUCCUACCGGGAAUCGAACCCAGAGCCUCUGCACUGAGCUUCGUCCCAGCCCUUUUCUGAAACAACGUUGAUUUUGAGGCAGGGUCUUGCCCAGCUGCCCAGCCUGGGCUCCAUCGUGCACCCUCCUGCCUCAGCCUCCUAGAGAGCCGGGAGGAUCCCCGGUGAUGAGUGCCUCAUUCCUAACCCUCCCAUGGCCCCAUGGCCAGCAGCAGAGCCUGAAACUUGGGGUUCACGCCCCAGCCUCGGCGGUACCCCAGCCCCGACUCCUCAGCCUCUGUUCCUCCCGGUGUUUCCUGCCUCUUCCUCCUGGCCACGAUCUGCCGUCCCUGGGCCUGGAGACAAAGCAGCUGCAGCCUGACUUCCGGCCCCUGUGGGGACCCCACCCCGCGGCCUGCAGUGUCCACCCUGGGGCCGCUUGCUGCCCUGGCCUGGGAGAGGAGGGGAGGUAGGGAAACAGCAGAGAGGCCCCGCAGGGUCCCCAGGGUGUUGUGAGGACCCCAGGCCCUCAGGAGCCCCUCGGUCCCCUGGGAAAAGGAUGGAGACCAUGAGAGAUUGUCCUGCCUCUGCUUCCUGCAGCUCUGGAGGGAAACUAGAGCCAGGGCACAGAGACCCCAGCACCAAGCAGGGUGCACUUUCCCGGGCACAACCGGUGUGUUUCUCAGUCUGGCUGUGCUGGGCUCCGUGUCCCCGAGCCCCAAGGGACAAGCGUCGGGUCUCAGGGACAGGGUCAGCUGCCUUCAGGGCUGGAGGUGGGAGACGGGCAUGGGGCGGCCCCAGGCUGUGCCCAGGUUCAAUGAUCGCCCCAGGGUGGUCGGGAACCCCCGAGGGGCAGCAGCCCCAUGAGGCACUUAAGCUCCUGGAUACAGCCGGACCUGGAGCCCUUGCAUCCCAGAGAGAGACGCUCUCAGAGUCCACGUUGACCUGAGCUGGUGCAGGUUAGGCUUCUACUCCAGUCACAGAACCUUUUCCAAACUGCCCGACCCGAUCAGCCAAUCAGCCAUUGGCAGCAGACCCAUACUGGUUUUAAUCACUGAAGCUGUCCCUCCCUGUGCUCCGGAAGGCUGAGGCGGGAGGAUCACAUAUUUGAGCCCCGCCUUGGUAGCAUGGUGACUUUACCGAGACCCUGUCUUAAAAAUAAACAUUUUUUUUUAAAAAAGUUAAGGACAGGGCAGGGACGGCGUCCGGUGCAGCUCAUUUGUUUACCCAGCUAUUUAGGGCCAGGCUUGGGCUCUUUCCUUUGUUUCUCAUUCUGAGCCGGGGUCUCGCGCCGGGCCGCGGCUUGUGGUCCUCCUGCCUCAGCCUCCCUGAGGGCCAGGAGGACGGCUGCCCCCUCGACUCCUAAGACAGUGACUUUGGAAGCAGAGAAGCCAUCUGUGCCCGGGUUUCUGUCCGGAGCCCACGUUGCCUGCGUCUCCAACUGGAGACCCUCACGCCUCAGCCUCCCGAGCAUGGCGCCCCGCACUCCGCCCGCGCCUCCCUCCGCCACCACCGCCCCCCCGCCCCGGCAUCCCUGGGACUCACGGAGGCUGGGGAGGGCGGUGACGCAGUGCGCAGCCCCUCAGCUGGAGCCAAACUGAGGCUGUGAAAGAGCCGGGCCUCUUCCUCUCUCUGCUAACCCGGGCUGUGGCUGCUGCUUUGCAUACGGAGCCGGCUCCCUGCACUGAGUUCGAGUCACCGGGCCGUGCCCAGGCUGCAGGGCUCGUCCGGCCGUCGGCAAUGCGGUGUCUGUGACCUGGGGCUCCGCUGCCACACGCGUGUUUGCUUCGUAAAAUCUUCAGCUGCGGGGCCGGGAUCGGAAAAGCCUGGCUGGGUGUUGAUUUUCUGCACGCUUUCCUGGGGCUUUGGGCUGAGCUGCAGGCCCGAGUGUUCACAGACUGACUCUCUGACCCCCAGGCCCCCAGGCCGAGGCUGUGUGGAGACCGAAUGUUUGUAGAUUGACUCCUGACCCCAGGACCUCAGGCUGCAGCUGUGUAUGGAGACUGGGUCUUAAGGAGCCGUGGAGGUAAACUGAGUCCCCAGGGUGGCCCCGACCCGACAGGGCUGGGUCCCUCUGAGAAGAGGCCGGAGGACCCGGACACACAGGAGGGAUGCAGGUGUGAGGACCCAGGACCCCAGGAGCCAGGACUCGGAGGAGCCAGCGCCACCCACACCUGGGCCUGGGGCCUGUGCCUCCCUGAUGUAGACAGGAAGCAUCCGGGGCCCCAGGGACCCGGCGGGGACUUUGCUGGGAGGCGGGGAGCACUGAUUACCGUAACCAUGAAGCGGAAGCCCCCGGACUGCCUCCCUGGACCGAGGCACACAGGAAGCGGGGCGCAGACAAGGUUGGAAUACUAUGCAGCCAUCAAAAGGAUGGGUGCGAGCAGAAACAGCGGCAUGGGGCGGUCACAGCCGGGUGUGGACGUGGAAAAAGGGAUUUGCGGGAGCAGAGAGGUGAAUGGGAAGGCACAGAAGCUGCCGCUCUGUUGGGGUGCGGUGUGGUUAGCACACAAACACCUGGCGGGGGCGCAUGACUGGCAUCCAGCGCACAGAGAAGCUGAGGCAGGAGGGUCUCAAGUCAGUGAAUGUCUCUGUCUCUCCCUGUCUCUCUCUCUCUCUCUUUGUCUCUUCUCAGGGAGACGGACUGGACAGCAAGCAGAUGGUGUUUUUGCUGCAUCUUCCUGUUUUUAAAACAGCUGCGCUGUUCCUGUCAAAGGUGGGGAGGAGCAGAGCCAAGGCGGGAGCACCGGGUGGUUGAACCCAGGACCUGUGCGCCCAGCUCCACCCCAGCCCAUUUUUAAAAAACAAAUUUGAGACAGGGCCUUGCUAAAUGACUGAACUGCUCAGGCUGAACUGGCAGUAGCAACCUUCCUGCCUCAGCCUCCCGGAGUGCUGGCAGCACCAGGGUUCCUCCACAGAUCCCGUAGCUGCCUUUCUGUUGGGAUGCAGGUUUGACGCCGUGGGAUUCAUCAUGUAGCACAGGCUGGCCUUGGACUCACGGGGGAGAUCCCCCUGCCUCAGCCUCUCGAGUGCGUGCCGGGAGAAACCCUGCCUUCAAAACACAACACAAAACAAAACGCGAAGGCCGGUGUCUCCACGUCUUUUACCUCUUCCCCCACCCACAUCUGGACACGACUAGUCGGUGUUUGCACCGAAACCAGAGCGACGAUUUCACUUCCCGUUAGCCACGGGGCUGCGAGUGUGGACGUUUCGUUCCGCAACACGUUUUGUCAACAUUGACCGAAGGGACACAGCUGAGUUUCACACCUCGGGGGACGCUCGGGCCGCACGGUGGAGUACUACGCGGCCCCGAAGAAGGACGGGCCAGAGGCAUUUUUGGAAGACUCGAAGCACCCCGAGACGGUGAGGCCGAGGGACGGAAACCAGGCACAGGAGCGUCAGCGUCUCAUGGUUUCUCUUCUGUGAGAAUCGCAGAGUGUGAAACAGAAGAGCAAAAUGAAAGGUGGAUCACGGGACGGAGGGAGAGAGGCCGUUCUCAGAGGGCGGGGACCGCGAGACGGAGCGGGGGAGCGGGAAGGGCGGAGAAAGAGUGAGGCCGGUGCGCGCGGACCCGCGUUUCCCUCCGCGCACGGAGUGAGCGGCUGGGUUCGCGGCUGGGUUCGCGGCUAAAAGGAAAUCGAAUC